UACGUUAUGCAAUCUUGAUAUCUACCCAGAAUGUAUGCCACUUCAGGGGAUGAUAGCAGAAAUGCGGGAGAGAAAAUGUGAAAUGUAUAUUUAUGGUGCUAUGUAAUGAUUGUACUCUUAUUUUUUUUUUUUUAACAUUGUAGGAUGGGCAGGCAGAGGAGCUUAAAUCAACUUCUCUUGCUUUCUCAAAUGUUUGGCAGGUGUGAAACUGGGGAUCAAAACACUCCCUGCACUGCCUGUUCUCUGAGCUCCAGAUGAAGCGGAGACUUUGCAGACAAGAGAACCUAAGGAGGGAGAGCAGCAGGAGGAGUUGGCAUUUAGCCACAGAGCUUCAAGUCUUCCCAUCCAUAGGUGGCCAAGCACCAUCAUUUUAAAGGUCGAUCUCCUUUUCCUGCCUUUAGACACAAAGGUAUUUAUGAGCCGCCAUUUCUUAUACUACUGCAGUGAACCUACCCUGGAUGUGAAGAUUGCCUUUUGUCAGGUGUGUGUUCCUUACAGGUAAAACAAGGGAUUCGGGAAACAAGUGGAUGUGUCAU
rnacentral:lncRNA from 1 species